AUGGAACAUUUGCCAGACAUGUUGGAUUCUGAUUCUCUUAUAUUGGAGGAUAAAUAUUUGCGUAUGCAUUGCGCUGCACACAUACUUAAUUUGAUUGUGAAAGAUGGUAUGGAUGUCAUGGAGGAGGGUAUAGAGCGGGUUCGUGAUAGUGUUGGAUUUUGGUCUGUUACUCCAAAGAGGCAUGAGAAAUUUGGAAAAAUGGCACGAACUCUAAACAUUGAAUACAAGACAAGGUUGGCUCUUGAUUGUAAAACAAGAUGGAAUUCGACCUACACAAUGCUAAACAUUGCAUUAGAAUACAUAGAGGUUUUUGAAAAACUAAAGGGUUGUGAGAAAUUAUUUAGUUGCUGUCCAACCAAAGAUGAUUGGAAGGUUGCUAAGGAACUUUGUGAUAGGCUAAAAAAUUUGUAUGAUGUCACAGAGGCAUUUUCUGGCACUAAAUAUGUCACUGCAAAUCUAUUCUUUCCUAAAAUAUGUGGCAUUCAGUUGGCAAUACAGAAAUGGGCUAAUAGUACUAAUGAGAUUGUGCAAAAGAUGUCUGAGGGAAUGAAACUGAAGUUUGACAAAUAUUGGAAAGAUGUACAUGGUCUGAUGUCUGUUGCGACUGUUCUUGACCCAAGGUAUAAGCUUCAUAUGCUGCAAGCUCUUUUUGGUUCUCUUUAUGGAAUGGAAUAUGCAGAUGUGAAAGUUGCUGAAAUAAGGAACUUAAUGGCUGAUUUGUUGGAUAUAUAUCGAGAAGAUGAUGAGGCCACGACUACAUCAAAGGUUGUUAGCAUGGCUGAUGCACAAGUUGCUGGAAUAGAUGAUCCUAACAGUGAUUCUGAGCUAGAGGGAGACCUAAAUCAAUGUAGCUCCCUAGUGGAGGAGUCAGAGAAUAUGCCCUAUCUUAUUCACCCAUCAAGAUGUUCAAAAGGAAGAGGGCGAUUGCUGAUCGUGGAGGAGCACAAGCAAAGUAUUUGGAAAAUGUAG
rnacentral:rRNA from 1 species